UAGAAUGAAAAGAUGGAUCGAAAGAACUACAUUGAAGGAACCAAGGUUUUGGCCGCCUACAUGGAGAAAAUGGCCAAAAUAGAACGAGAAGCUAAUCCCGUUGCUAAUGGAAUACUUUGAAGUAGCUCAAGAUGAUUGCUAAAAAAAUUCAGUAGCGUGUGAAAUUUCCGUCCGUAACAUAGAUUUCCCCGCCCCCUUUGAUUGGGCGAUAGACUACAUACAAAAAAAGUUAAAAGUAAAAAUUUGUUUUCGAUUUCCGACAGAAGCAUUAAGAAUCGCCCUUCUGAGAAACGACCCGUGGACUAUUGUCAGUAUCUGAACGACUGCGCACCUACCCCUCCCUAACCUAACAUUAACCCUAACUUGUUAUCAAUUGACUAUUGUUAAGUUAGGAGAGGGUAGGUGCGCUGUUGCUUAAAUACUCGCGUUGAUUCCGAAUUUGCUUUGACGAUGCGAUGCUUUAGUUUAUAUGAGUAAGCGUUGAAUAGAUACGAACACUUCUGUUUAACGGCUAAAAUCAUAAUGUAACAAUAAAACAUACACUGUAGCAAAAAUGAAUGAAGAUUAAAGAGAAGAAAAGUGGUACUUGAACAA